rnacentral:rRNA from 1 species
GGGGAAUUUUGGACAAUGGGGGCAACCCUGAUCCAGCCAUGCCGCGUGAGUGAAGAAGGCCUUCGGGUUGUAAAGCUCUUUCGGACGGAAAGAAAUCGCCGCCUCUAACAUAGGCGGUGGAUGACGGUACCGUAAGAAGAAGCACCGGCUAACUACGUGCCAGCAGCCGCGGUAAUACGUAGGGUGCGAGCGUUAAUCGGAAUUACUGGGCGUAAAGCGUGCGCAGGCGGUUUGGUAAGACAGGUGUGAAAGCCCCGGGCUCAACCUGGGAACUGCAUCCAAAACUGGCGAGCUAGAGUAUGGCAGAGGGUGGUGGAAUUCCACGUGUAGCAGUGAAAUGCGUAGAGAUGUGGAGGAACACCGAUGGCGAAGGCAGCCCCCUGGGCCUGUACUGACGCUCAUGCACGAAAGCGUGGGGAGCAAACA